rnacentral:rRNA from 1 species
GGAGGGUGCAAGCGUUAAUCGGAAUUACUGGGCGUAAAGCGCGCGCAGGCGGCUGGGUCAGUCGGAUGUGAAAGCCCCCGGGCUUAACCUGGGAAUUGCAUUCGAUACUGCCCGGCUAGAGUAUGGGAGAGGGAAGUGGAAUUUCCGGUGUAGCGGUGAAAUGCGUAGAUAUCGGAAGGAACACCAGUGGCGAAGGCGGCUUCCUGGCCCAAUACUGACGCUCAGGUGCGAAAGCGUGGGGAGCGAACAGGGAUUAGAUACCCUGGUAGUCCACGCUGUAAACGAUGAGAACUAGAUGUUGGGAGGGUUAGCCUCUCAGUGUCGCAGCUAACGCGUUAAGUUCUCCGCCUGGGAGUACGACCGCAAGGUUG